UCUGCCUARUAGAGGGGGACAACAUGUGGAAACGCAUGCUAAUACCGCAUACGCCCUAAGGGGGAAAGGAGGGGACUCUUCGGAGCCUUCCGCUAUUAGAUGAGCCUGCGUGAGAUUAGCUAGUUGGUAGGGUAAAGGCCUACCAAGGCGACGAUCUCUAACUGGUCUGAGAGGAUGACCAGUCACACUGGGACUGAGACACGGCCCAGACUCCUACGGGAGGCAGCAGUGGGGAAUAUUGGACAAUGGGCGCAAGCCUGAUCCAGCCAUGCCGCGUGUGUGAAGAAGGCCUUAGGGUUGUAAAGCACUUUCAGGGGUGAGGAAGGGUAAUGGAUUAAUACUUCAUUACUUUGACGUUAGCCCCARAAGAAGCACCGGCUAACUCUGUACCAGCAGCCGCGGUAAUACAGAGGGUGCAAGCGUUAAUCGGAAUUACUGGGCGUAAAGCGCGCGUAGGUGGUNUGUUAAGUCGGAUGUGAAAUCCCAGGGCUCAACCUUGGAAUGGCACCCGAUACUGNCUAGCUAGAGUAUGGUAGAGGGGUGUGGAAUUUCCUGUGUAGCGGUGAAAUGCGUAGAUAUAGGAAGGAACAUCAGUGGCGAAGGCGACACCCUGGACUAAUACUGACACUGAGGUGCGAAAGCGUGGGRAGCAAACAGGAUUAGAUACCCUGGUAGUCCACGCCGUAAACGAUGUCUACUAGCCGUUGGGUUGUAAUGACUUAGUGGCGCAGCUAACGCAAUAAGUAGACCGCCUGGGGAGUACGGCCGCAAGGUUAAAACUCAAAUGAAUUGACGGGGGCCCGCACAAGCGGUGGAGCAUGUGGUUUAAUUCGAARCAACGCGAAGAACCUUACCUACUCUUGACAUCCACAGARCAUUUGAGAGAUCAGAUGGUGCCUUCGGGAACUGUGARACAGGUGCUGCAUGGCUGUYGUCAGCUCGUGUUGUGAAAUGUUGGGUUAAGUCCCGUAACGAGCGCAACCCUUGUCCUUAUUUGCCAGCACGUAAUGGUGGGAACCUUAAGGAGACUGCCGGUGACAAACCGGAGGAAGGUGGGGACGACGUCAAGUCAUCAUGGCCCUUACGAGUAGGGCUACACACGUGCUACAAUGGCGUAUACAGAGGGCUGCAAGCUAGCGAUAGUGAGCGAAUCCCACAAAGUACGUCGUAGUCCGGAUUGGAGUYUGCAACUYGACUCCAUGAAGUYGGAAUCGCUAGUAAUCGUGAAUCAGAAUGUCACGGUGAAUACSYUSCCGGGCCUUG
rnacentral:rRNA from 1 species